GACAGAGGGUGCAAACGUUUGUUCGGAAUUACUGGGCGUAAAGCGCGUGUAGGCGGUCGUGCAAGUCGGGUGUGAAAGCCCUCGGCUCAACCGGGGAAGUGCACUCGAAACUGCAUGACUAGAGUCUCGGAGAGGAUAGUGGAAUUCUCGGUGUAGAGGUGAAAUUCGUAGAUAUCGAGAGGAACACCGGUGGCGAAGGCGGCUAUCUGGACGAUGACUGACGCUGAGACGCGAAAGCGUGGGGAGCAAACAGG
rnacentral:rRNA from 1 species